UACGUAGGGCGCAAGCGUUGUCCGGAAUUAUUGGGCGUAAAGAGCUCGUAGGCGGCUUGUUGCGUCGGUUGUGAAAGCCCGGGGCUUAACCCCGGGUCUGCAGUCGAUACGGGCAGGCUAGAGUGUGGUAGGGGAGACCGGAAUUCCUGGUGUAGCGGUGAAAUGCGCAGAUAUCAGGAAGAACACCAGCGGCGAAGGCGGCACUCUGGGCCGGAACUGACGCUGAGGAGCGAAAGCGUGGGUAGCAAACAGG
rnacentral:rRNA from 1 species